rnacentral:tRNA from 1 species
GGUCCCGUAGUUCAAUGGAUAGAAUUUAAGAUUCCGGUUCUUACGAUUGGAGUUCGAAUCUCCACGGGAUCA